GCUGGGAUAGUUCAGUCGAUAAGAGCAUGAGACUCUUAAUCUCGGGGUUGUGGGUUUGAGCUUCACGAUGGGCA